GGAGAGGUGUCCGAGUGGCCGAAGGAGCGCGACUGGAAAUCGCGUAAGUGCCGAAAGGUGCUUCGAGGGUUCAAAUCCCUCUCUCUCCGC
rnacentral:tRNA from 1 species